rnacentral:misc_RNA from 1 species
GAGAAUUUAGGAAGAGAAAGAGAUCAGUUUUUGUAUUUGAUUCAUAAUGGUCAUCUACUAGUAUGAGUCGGCUAUUUAUUGACUUCCUCUAACAAAUUCCAUAACUGACUCUUAACAACUCUAAACAGCUACACAACUGCCUAACUUAUUUUCCCUCCAAAACAUCUUCCCUCCUAUUUCUGAACUUCUUUCUCUUGUAUGUUACACAACCACAUUCUCAUUUUA